rnacentral:misc_RNA from 1 species
AAGUCGUAACAAGGUUUCCGUAGGUGAACCUGCGGAAGGAUCAUUAACACGUAUCCAAACGUUAAACCCCCCUGUGAACCUUCAGUCGUACUCGUACGUCCGUUAGAAAAAGCAGCAAUCGGCCGUGUGGGCCUCCAACGAUCGUGACUGCGUCAUCCUUACACAUGUUAGUGACACUUUCAGACACUAACGUUAGUGACACUUUCAGACACUAACUGCUUGGGGAUGCCAGGCCACUUACACGCACAACAUGCACGCUCCUUGCAGACGUCCCUGAAUCGAAAACUGUUCGGCACUGGGUGCAAGCCCCCUUAUCACACCCCUGCUCUAUCUAUGGUGAUCCUGCGGGAAGUCCUGCGGUCGAACGCCGAAACCGAACAACUGUUAACAAUGGAUAUCUUGGUUCUC